GAAUAGCCGCGGCCGGAGCGAGGGAACACUGUGCUCGUUGCCCGCUGCCUGCAUCAUCUGCUCUGGCCAGGCCUGACUAGAAGAGGCCAGAGCAGCGGAGCAGCGCGGGACCUGGGACAGGGAACCUACGCUGUCAGAUAACUGGAAGCAAUGGAUCUGACCAUAUCCCUACUAGUAAUGUAUGCCAGUGAAAGAAGAAAGGCAAGACAGCAAGUUUCUAUCAGCAGCCGAGGUCCUUCUGUAGCGAGAGAUCUGCCUGUUCUGUUUUCACACUGUCUCAUAGUUUGAUGAGGUUUUCCUGCAGUAGCAUAAUAGGACCAGCAGACCAAGGACUACGAUGCUCAAGAUGACCACAACAAUGGUCAGUCUGACAACAGCACCUGAAGAAAAUCACAAAAUUGUUUAAGACAACCAUACAUAUAUUUUAUCAUUACAAAACAAAGUAUCUCAUAUAGUAUGCUUUUUGAUAGCCUAAAUAUAAUUUGC